CUCUCGGGUGACGAGCGGCGGACGGGUGAGUAAUGUCUGGGAAACUGCCUGAUGGAGGGGGAUAACUACUGGAAACGGUAGCUAAUACCGCAUAAUGUCCAAGACAAAGUGGGGGACCUUCGGCCUCAUGCCAUCAAUGUGCCCAGAUGGGAUUACUAUAGUGGGGUAACGGCUCACCUAGGCGACGAUCCCUAGCUGGUCUGAGAGGAUGACCAGCCACACUGGAACUGAGACACGGUCCAGACUCCUACGGGAGGCAGCAGUGGGGAAUAUUGCACAAUGGGCGCAAGCCUGAUGCAGCCAUGCCGCGUGUGUGAAGAAGGCCUUCGGGUUGUAAAGCACUUUCAGCGGGGAGGAAGGCGUUAAGGUUAAUAACCUUGGCGAUUGACGUUACCCGCAGAAGAAGCACCGGCUAACUCCGUGCCAGCAGCCGCGGUAAUACGGAGGGUGCAAGCGUUAAUCGGAAUUACUGGGCGUAAAGCGCACGCAGGCGGUCUGUCAAGUCGGAUGUGAAAUCCCCGGGCUCAACCUGGGAACUGCAUUCGAAACUGGCAGGCUAGAGUCUUGUAGAGGGGGGUAGAAUUCCAGGUGUAGCGGUGAAAUGCGUAGAGAUCUGGAGGAAUACCGGUGGCGAAGGCGGCCCCCUGGACAAAGACUGACGCUCAGGUGCGAAAGCGUGGGGAGCAAACAGGAUUAGAUAGCCUGGUAGUCCACGCCGUAAACGAUGUCGAUUUGGAGGUUG
rnacentral:rRNA from 1 species